rnacentral:lncRNA from 7 species
AUUCGGAAGGCACCCUGAGAACCAGGAAGUUGCUGUAAGAUGAAAUGCGACAGGGAUUCCCUGGAGGGCCCUACAGGAGGCUGGAAGGAGGGGAUUGGUUUUUUACCCACCACAUCUGAAACUGAGAAUCUCAGGCAGCAAAGGAACGGCGUUUGCUUAAAAACAGGUACACCCGUACAUGUGAUGCAACAUUUGGUCUAACAGUGGUCAACCCAGGGGAAGAAUAAGACCAAAGCCCUACUUGACAAGUGGUGUCCUGGCACGGAGGUCUCAGGAACCUCUGCUCUGAGCCUCAAGCUGGAUGGCCUCUCGCGAUCCUCUCUCCCUCUGAGCUUGGAAAACGAGACGUGGAACAGAAUCUCCUGCUGUUUUGGUCUUAUAACGAGAUGGGAAGCAGUUCCUGCUUAACAUCAGAAACAAUAUUUAGUGACUUCUACAAAUGUACCUGAUACAUACACACUAAUGCUUCAUAGGACUGAUUCCAGUGACCUUGGCAACCUUUUGUUCAGCUGAUAGUUUAAGUAAUGUUUUUGCUUAGUUGCUGUUUUGCUUAAGACCUUAAUUCUUGCAAGAAACAACUUUGUGCUGCACCAUUCCCACGUGGAUGGAGAAAUGCAUGAAUUUUUCUUAACAUGACUUGACAGUGAAUUUAUUUCAUUGUGUCUGUUUUGACCUGAGCAACUAUUUUUAUUUCCUGUCCAUCUGAGUUACUACUUGAUUUGCUGAAAGCUAAGGAACCAGAGCUGUGAGAUUAAGAUUUCAAAAAUACAUGCUUUUGGAGAAGUUAUUUGGCUGAAACAAAUGCCCUGUGUUGGUCUGUCAGAGCCACGUGUCCUGUCCCUCUGAGCUAAGCUGUAUCGGAAGGCAAGACAGUCACUGCUGAAUGCUGCUUCAUUGAAAGUACAAGUAUUUUAAAAGUAUCCAAGUACUUCAAAUGGAAUUUCUAAUGCUCAAUACUUUGAGUU